rnacentral:rRNA from 1 species
CAGUCGUACGCUUCUUUUUCCACCGGAGCUUGCUCCACCGGAAAAAGAAGAGUGGCGAACGGGUGAGUAACACGUGGGUAACCUGCCCAUCAGAAGGGGAUAACACUUGGAAACAGGUGCUAAUACCGUAUAACAAUCGAAACCGCAUGGUUUUGAUUUGAAAGGCGCUUUCGGGUGUCGCUGAUGGAUGGACCCGCGGUGCAUUAGCUAGUUGGUGAGGUAACGGCUCACCAAGGCCACGAUGCAUAGCCGACCUGAGAGGGUGAUCGGCCACAUUGGGACUGAGACACGGCCCAAACUCCUACGGGAGGCAGCAGUAGGGAAUCUUCGGCAAUGGACGAAAGUCUGACCGAGCAACGCCGCGUGAGUGAAGAAGGUUUUCGGAUCGUAAAACUCUGUUGUUAGAGAAGAACAAGGAUGAGAGUAACUGUUCAUCCCUUGACGGUAUCUAACCAGAAAGCCACGGCUAACUACGUGCCAGCAGCCGCGGUAAUACGUAGGUGGCAAGCGUUGUCCGGAUUUAUUGGGCGUAAAGCGAGCGCAGGCGGUUUCUUAAGUCUGAUGUGAAAGCCCCCGGCUCAACCGGGGAGGGUCAUUGGAAACUGGGAGACUUGAGUGCAGAAGAGGAGAGUGGAAUUCCAUGUGUAGCGGUGAAAUGCGUAGAUAUAUGGAGGAACACCAGUGGCGAAGGCGGCUCUCUGGUCUGUAACUGACGCUGAAGCUCGAAAGCGUGGGGGAGCAACAGGAUUAGAUACCCUGGUAGUC